ensembl:misc_RNA Metazoa_SRP Metazoan signal recognition particle RNA
GCUGGGCAUGGUGGCUCAUGCCUGUAAUCCCAGUACCUUGGGAGGCCGAGGCAGGUGGAUCAUCUGAGGUCAGGAGUUCCAGACCAGCCUGGCCAACAUGGUGAAACCCCGUCUCUA